CCCUUAGAUGUUCUGGGCCGCACGCGCGCUACACUGAUGCAUUCAACGAGUUUCUUCCUGGUCCGAGAGGAAUGGGUAACCUUUUGAAAGUGCAUCGUGAUAGGGAUAGACUAUUGCAAUUAUUGGUCUUCAACGAGGAAUUCCUAGUAGACGUAGUUCAUCAGACUGCAUCGAUUACGUCCCUGCCCUUUGUACACACCGCCCGUCGCUCCUACCGUUUGAAUGCUCAGGUGAGCCAUUCGGACUUUCAUCAUGCUGGUUUCCAGUUUUGAUGAAGGAAAGUCUUGCGAACCUUAUCAUUUAGAGGAAGGAGAAGUCGUAACA
rnacentral:rRNA from 1 species